AGUGAACGCUGGCGGUAGGCCUAACACAUGCAAGUCGAACGGCAGCACAGUAAGAGCUUGCUCUUACGGGUGGCGAGUGGCGGACGGGUGAGGAAUACAUCGGAAUCUACUUUUUCGUGGGAGAUAACGUAGGGAAACUUACGCUAAUACCGCAUACGACCUACGGGUGAAAGCAGGGGAUCUUCGGACCUUGCGCGAUUGAAUGAGCCGAUGUCGGAUUAGCUAGUUGGCGGGGUAAAGGCCCACCAAGGCGACGAUCCGUAGCUGGUCUGAGAGGAUGAUCAGCCACACUGGAACUGAGACACGGUCAGACUCCUACGGGAGGCAGCAGUGGGGAAUAUUGGACAAUGGGCGCAAGCCUGAUCCAGCCAUACCGCGUGGGUGAAGAAGGCCUUCGGGUUGUAAAGCCCUUUUGUUGGGAAAGAAAAGCAGCAGGUUAAUACCCCGCUGUUCUGACGGUACCCAAAGAAUAAGCACCGGCUAACUUCGUG
rnacentral:rRNA from 1 species